GUGGGGAAUAUUGGACAAUGGGCGAAAGCCUGAUCCAGCCAUGCCGCGUGUGUGAAGAAGGUCUUCGGAUUGUAAAGCACUUUAAGUUGGGAGGAAGGGCAGUAAGUUAAUACCUUGCUGUUUUGACGUUACCGACAGAAUAAGCACCGGCUAACUUCGUGCCAGCAGCCGCGGUAAUACGAAGGGUGCAAGCGUUAAUCGGAAUUACUGGGCGUAAAGCGCGCGUAGGUGUUUUUGUAAGUUGGAGGUGAAAUCCCCGGGCUCAACCUGGGAACUGACUCCAAAGAUGCAUGACUAGAGUACGGUAGAGGGUAGUGGAAUUUCCUGUGUAGCGGUGAAAUGCGUAGAUAUAGGAAGGAACACCAGUGGCGAAGGCGACUACCUGGACUGAUACUGACACUGAGGUGCGAAAGCGUGGGGAGCAAACAGGAUUAGAAACCCUGGUAGUCC
rnacentral:rRNA from 1 species